UGCCCUCCGCCUCCCGAGCCCCUUCCCCAUCCAGCUGAGCCCCGGCGGGCUCGGGGAGAGCGCUCAGCCUGCUCGGGACGAGGGCAGCGCGGAGGGGCGAAGGCCGGUCCUACGGCUGUUUGUAUUCCCGCAGCAGGACCCGCUCCCUGAUCCCAACCUGAGGGAGCGGGGGGGGCAGUGGGGGUUUCUAGGGCGCCUUCGGGGUGGCUAUGAUGGAAAAGCUGUGCUUGGGGGAGGGACAGUGGCCCAAAAAUAGCGCCAGGGCAAGAAGGGGGGAGUCCCCGUGAGGAUCCGGCCGUUCCCGCUGCGGGUGGGGAAAUGCUUUCCCUAUGGAAGCGUGCUGGAUGCGCAUCCUCGUCCCACACGGAUGGGGCGGCUCGGAGCCCAGGCUGGUGGGGACAAUCGGGAGGGACUGUUUUUCUCCUGCCAGCAGCGCUGUUUAUCUCCGCCACUUCAGGGAUAGAUGGCUGCUAAUCCUCUUGCGGAUGGCGGGAGGUUGCCUUUGCUGUUGUGUUUCUGCAUUAGGAUCUCCCGCUCCCUAUGGAAAAUUCCACUGGUUUUGCUGCUCGUCGUGUCGUUACCUGUUGUUGCUGAGUGUCCUUUGAGUCUGCUCUGCACUGAAUUAGCUGCCAUCACUUGCCACUCCUUCUGGGACAGCUUCCAAAUCGCUGAAAUCAUUGCAGUUUCCUGGGCUCUGAAAGUGAAAAGGCUUCACCUUGAAGUAUCCACCAGCUUUCCCAAUGGUGUGUUUAAGGAAAUUGUAAUGAGAAACCAGUUCAGCAGUGAGGGUUCACUUGGCCUACCUGUUAAAGGCAUGUCAUGCAGCUGAGGGCAGCAGGAGACUAGUCAGGCCUGUUUUUCCUUAGAAGUCACUGUUUUUACACAAAUAAACAGCUGUCUUUUCUCACCAGGGUUCUGAGUGCUCAUUGCCUCACCUCCCGUGCAGUUUUUCCUGAAGAUUUUGCUGGGACAGCCCAAAACACCGUUUGUCUGCCCAGCUGGCUAAUUAGCUGUGCAAACAUUCAGCCACCCUUGUCAGAUCCUGAUGGAGUCACUUGGCUGCCUUACAGGCCGUGAGGGUUUUUGGUUGACCUACUUACAGGGCUUCUGUGCAUCUUCCCUUUAAGGGAGACACAGAAGAAUUAAAGCAGGGUGUACAGGUCCUGGCAUCUCUGGACUACUGAUGUGCACUCUGAUUAUUUCUUGUCUUUGAGGCCAGGCAGGGAGGAGAAAGGCUGGGUGUGCUCUUAAAGCAGGACUCAGUUUCUCUUUAACUAUUUUCCCUCCACACCUUUUUGCUAAAUUGAAAGUUAAGCUGGGAGUGGAAAGUAAAAACUUUAAGGAUAUGAUUUUUUCCCAUCCCUCCUCCCCUAAAAUAGUAGGCUUAAAAGCUUGUAAGGAAGGCAGAUUCAAGCUAAUGUGUAAUUCCUCUAGCAAACACUGGUCAGAACAUGUGGGGACAGGAAAUUUGUGAGCUGAAUUAGCCUGGCUUGAAUUUUCUUGAGGAUGUGGAUAAAGCACAUAAUUGGACUGUUCUGUAGUUUGCAGGCUUGUUCUGCCAUGAAUGUGAUUUCUAACAAAAAAAGCCAGGUUGGUGCAGCCCACUGCUGCAGAUUAAAUUAGGAGAAGGGGGGAGAGUGUCCUGUGCCAGCAGUGGUGUGACCAGGGCAGUGACUGUCCCCCUGUGCUGUGCACUGCUGAGGCCACACCUCGACUCUUGUGUCCACUACAGGAAGGACACUGAGGUGCUGGAGCACGUCCAGGGAAGAGAACAGAGCUGGGAAGGGUCUGGAGGGCAAGUCCAGGCUGGAAUUCAGGAGAAAUUCCUGCUCAGAAAGGGUUGCCAGGUGCUGGAAUGGGCUGGUGGAGUCACCACCCCUGGAGGUGUUCAGGAAAUGUCAGAGCUGGCACUCAGUGCUCUGGUCUGGAUGACAAGGUGGUGAUUGGUCACAGCCUGGAUUCGAUGAUCUUGGAGGUGUUUUCCAACCUGAAUGGUGCUGUGAUUAUACACAAAUAAAAUCUGUGUUUUCUUGGAGCAAUAACUGGCUCUGAGGCACGGUCAGGCUGUCACACAGCGCUUUGAUAGCACAGCAGUCAUGUGCCCUGUGUAAACCUGCCCUUGCACAAUCCCCUGCUUGUUUGCCGGGCAGGUAUAAAUAGAAAGGGUUGCUGUUGGUUGUGUCUGGAGGAGCUGAGCCGGCCCUUCUGCCCGCCCCCGGUCACGCCCAGCGGAGCUGCCCCGGGCAGCCUUUCCGCAGCCCCGGUCUGUGCUGUUCGUGCGCCGCAAAGGAGCUGCUCCGGCAGCCUCCAGACACCGAGGGCAUGGGGAGGGUGGAGCCAGAGAGAUGGAGCUUGUCAGCAAAACUGGAUGUGUCAGCUGAGGCUCCCCGGGAGGCUGGGCUGUGCUAUUUCAGGGAAGGCUUUUCUGGUAUAAAAUGCAGGGACAUCUUUGUUUUGUAUCUGUGGGGGAGGCAGGAGCAGUUCCUGCUGCCUGCCAUGGGUUUUUGUUUCAGUGUCUCUUGUACAUCUCAUUCUUCAAAGCAGGUUGGGGCAAUGCCAUCGGACUCUAAGACAUAGAAAGAGACUUUGUUUUUUCUUAAAGGAUUGACUUACUUUCUGUUUGGUUUUUUUAAAAUGCAAUUUGUUUGCUGCUACUAAGAUAUCAGAGUUCCUGUUGCAAUUAAAAAGGCUACAUUGAAGUGUGUGUAUGUAUUCUAGGGCAGUGCUUCUCUGUAUUUGGUCAUGAGGCAAUGUUUGGUUUCAGAUAGUAGAUUUUCCCAGUCUUUGUGCCAUGGAUAUAUUUGUCUAGUGAAAAAGGAAUGAUAGAUACAGGAUUUCUGCAGACACUUAGGUGAAAUCUGUCCCCUGCACCCCCCCCAAAAAAACCCUCAGAACAAAGCCAGAAAGAAUGGAGAUGGACCAGCAGAAUGUCCCAAACAUUUUAGAGUAUUUCUGCAGGCAUCUGCUGCAGAGAAAAAUGCUGCUCAUAACUUUUUGGGAAUAUCUUAGCAUACAGUAUGGGGCCACUUACUCCUGGUGACUACCAGGUGUCCCAGAACAUCCACUUAUCUCUUCUAGAUUCUGCUACAGGAAAAUCUCAGGCAGGCAACACCUGGCCAACUUGGAAAUUAUUUUUUUGCAACCUUUGCGUUUACCUGGGACAAUUUUCUGGGCCAGUAGAGGUGCUUUUACUGUCCCAGCUCAUCCAGUUCUCUGCUCUCUUUAACUUUAUUGUGAUUGCUUGUACACACACUGCUUCUCUUGUCAUCUUGUGUUCUGGUGAGGGAAGCAAGGGAGCACCUGAGGCAGAGGCAGUGUGCCAAAGUGAGAAUGAGUCCCCAGCUUUGAGGAAGAGCCUGGUUGUGGUGUUAGCUCCAAACUCAUUUUUUGCCCAUUGUGCUAGUUAGAAAUGUUUCAAGUUUGGUUUUUCCUCAGUAGGUAUUGGACAGGAAGACUCAUUUUUAACUGGAAUGCUGGUAACAGGUAGCCCCGUUUCCUCCACUUUUUCUUCACAUUGCCUGUAAUCCCUCCAAUGUUGGUCACUUUACUGCCUCAUUAAUCCAGAGGCAUAGGAGCCCUUUGGCAAGAGUCACUGGUGUGUGAUGCAGUUACAACUUUUGAAGUUUUACUCAUUAACUGACCAGAGAGGCUGUGGAGUAUUGAGCCCUUCAGAUAACUUCAGGCUGGGGUCACUCCUUCACUUCUUGACACUUUGUGAACUUUGGUGAAGAGAAGUUGAUCCCUCUUGACUUCUUUAACUUAAACACACUUUGCUUUUGCCAGUCUCAAAGGACAUGGGGAAAAGUUAGUAACUGGCAGAGCACAGAUGGCACAGGCUGAUGCAUUUGCUUGGUCUGUGGUGUCUCUGGGAGAUAAUGAAUUUUUAAUUCUUCUUAGUAUUGCAAAUAGGACAGCCUGGGAAUGACAUCCUUCCUAAUGAAUAGGUUAAUACACUUAUGCAGGGGACACACAAAAAGCAUGAGAGUUGACAGCACCCUAAAUGAUCUUCACAUUUUACUUUAAUCCAUUGUGUUGAACAGCAGCUCAGCACUUUCCUCAUGUUUUUUAUUUUUUUUUUCCCAAAUUUCAGGUUAAUUUGUCUGUAACCAAGGGUUUUUCUAGCAGCUAGGUUUGGAGGAGGCUGGAGUCUGCAGGUUGAAUUCCUCUGUGUUCUGUUUGGUAGUUUUCUGGUUCAUCCUUUGACUCUUUAGGGGAUCUGGUCUGGCCCCUCAGAAUCCCUGUUCUUUGACUCUUAUAUAAGGUGUUAAAUUUUAAGUGUCAUUUGUAGCUUCAGUGCAGCUUUGGAGGGGAUUUCUUAGGGUGUUUUUCUGAGAAUCUAGAGGAAAAAAUUCAGACUGGCUCUCUGUGGAAGAAGAGUGAGACAAAUGCUUGAGGGAAGGGAAGGUGUUUUCCAAGAAAGGUAAUUACCUAGCAAUUUUCCUGUAGCUGUCCUUGCAGAAUGGUAAUCCAGCCAUUAUAAACUUCCUUCCUCUUAGGUUGCUGUUUCCUGGAGAGGAGUGAAGAACUGGGCUGUGCUCUGUAAGCCAGGUGGAAAAGGUGAUAUUUUCUGAGGGGGCCAUCACCUCUACUUCCCAAAUUUGUGUCUGUGUGUUAGGAUAAACUUGGUAAAGCAAAGGCUCUUUUUUCUUAUAUUGAAGAAGCCACAUCUGAAGUGGUUCAGGCAGGGAGAAACCAGUGAAGAGGAUGAGUAAAGGAACACAGAUGAACUUGUUUGAUGCUCUAAAAACAAUGGCUUGCAAGAACUGGAGGAAAUGGGGGGAUAGCUCUUGGUGAGCAUGACAUGUGACUGUUGAGCUGAUCUACAGAGAAGGGAGAAAUCUAUUAAAAAAUAGAUUUUUUUUAAAGAACAAUAUAUAAAUUACAGAGAUGCCAGAGAUAACAAAGAAAGUAAUUCCCUUGGGUUUGUCUUUAUUUGCUUUCUCUUGGGUUGCUUGCUGUGCUGAGGAUAUGAAAUGUCAUGUUAAGGUGUCGCUCCUUUUGCAGCAAAGGUGAUUUGGAGGGGAGAGUUAAAACUCAAAACUAUUUACUCUGAGACAGCACAAGGUCUUAACACACUUCGCUGGCAUGUUUGCUUUUGUUGUAACAUAAGUUAAUAUAUGAGGGAAAAAUUCUGUUUCAUAGUUAAACAAGAGAGCAAGCUAAAAGGGAAGAAGUGGUAACAGAGAGUUUCCAGCUAUUAUUUUCUGAAUCUGCAGGAUCUGAAUAAAUGCAGAAGUUUUUUAGCUUUGUUUCUGUUUUUCCCAGGAUGUUCAAAAAGGGAGGGUGGGUAUUGUUGCAAUGAGGGUGCAUCCUUUCAUAUUAGAUACAAUAUUUCAAACAAAAGUACUUCCCCAUAGCGCAGAACAAACUUGUAAGAAUUUAACUAUGUUUGAAGUCACUGUGGAAGGUGUCAGAAAAGAAUUAAUGUGUGUCAUCUUUGUUCUGUAGCUGCUCUAAAAUGUGCCAGCCAUGUGUGGCCUUAACAAACAAAAUUGCUUAGUCACUGCCUGACUGGAAAGAUCUGUACUGAAAACAUUAAAAUUUAGAGUUGUCUUGACACACAGCCAGCAAAGCUGAUAACUGAAAAUAAUUCUGAAACAUAGUAUUUUUGCCAUACACUUAAUAAUGAUCUAUUGUUAGGGCUCUGAGGAAGAAGGAGCAAGACAUUGUGCUGAAGCUGGUACAGAUCUGAAAAAUCAUACAAUGACAGGAUCUUAAAAUAAUCAAACAAAA